rnacentral:rRNA from 1 species
UACGUAGGGUGCGAGCGUUGUCCGGAAUUACUGGGCGUAAAGAGCUCGUAGGUGGUUUGUCGCGUUGUCCGUGAAAACUCACAGCUUAACUAUGGGCGUGCGGGCGAUACGGGCAGACUGGAGUACUGCAGGGGAGACUGGAAUUCCUGGUGUAGCGGUGGAAUGCGCAGAUAUCAGGAGGAACACCGGUGGCGAAGGCGGGUCUCUGGGCAGUAACUGACGCUGAGGAGCGAAAGCGUGGGGAGCGAACAGG